rnacentral:rRNA from 1 species
CAGCGACGCUUAUGCGUUGUUGGGUAGGGGAGCGUUCUGUAAGCCUGUGAAGGUGUGCUGUGAGGUAUGCUGGAGGUAUCAGAAGUGCGAAUGCUGACAUAAGUAACGAUAAAGCGGGUGAAAAGCCCGCUCGCCGGAAGACCAAGGGUUCCUGUCCAACGUUAAUCGGGGCAGGGGGAGUCGACCCCUAAGGCGAGGCCGAAAGGCGUAGUCGAUGGGAAACAGGUUAAUAUUCCUGUACUUGGUGUUACUGCGAAGGGGGGACGGAGAAGGCUAUGUUGGCCGGGCGACGGUUGUCCCGGUUUAAGCGUGUAGGCUGGUUUUCCAGGCAAAUCCGGAAAAUCAAGGCCGAG